rnacentral:rRNA from 1 species
GAUGAACGCUGGCGGCGUGCCUAAUACAUGCAAGUCGAGCGAACAGACGAGGAGCUUGCUCCUCUGACGUUAGCGGCGGACGGGUGAGUAACACGUGGAUAACCUACCUAUAAGACUGGGAUAACUUCGGGAAACCGGAGCUAAUACCGGAUAAUAUAUUGAACCGCAUGGUUCAAUAGUUAAAGACGGUUUUGCUGUCACUUAUAGAUGGAUCCGCGCCGCAUUAGCUAGUUGGUAAGGUAACGGCUUACCAAGGCAACGAUGCGUAGCCGACCUGAGAGGGUGAUCGGCCACACUGGAACUGAGACACGGUCCAGACACCUACGGGAGGCAGCAGUAGGGAAUCUUCCGCAAUGGGCGAAAGCCUGACGGAGCAAAGCCGCGUGAGUGAUGAAGGUCUUCGGAUCGUAAAACUCUGUUAUUAGGGAAGAACAAAUGUGUAAGUAACUAUGCACGUCUUGACGGUACCUAAUCAGAAAGCCACGGCUAACUACGUG